UACUUGUAAACACCAUGUUCUGCAAAAGCAUUGCAAGCUCAGUUUUAUAAUGAGAAUAUUAUGAGAAGAAUGGUGAAGCUUAUUGGGUUAUGUUCUGAAUUUUUGUCAUGGCAUUUGUUUUGUUGUAUCAUUCCACUUCCCUUAAGUAAAUAUAUUAUGGGGUUUGGGUCAUUUUUCAAAACAAACUCAAUCAAGUUAUCAGAUUGGCUCCAAAAUCCAAACUCUAAAAUAAUAUAUGAAAUCAAGUAAGAGAGCUCUAUCAAUCUUGGAUCAAUGUCUCACCAUGGCCCAUAUCAAGCAAAUUCAAAGCCACCUCACAGUUUCAGGCACCCUUUUCGAUCCUUAUGCAGCUGCCAAGAUCAUUGCCUUCUGUACUGUAUCCAACUCCGGUGAUUUACGACAUGCGUUUCAACUCUUUCGUCAUAUGCCUUACCGAACCACCUACAUUUGGAACGUCGUGAUCAGAGCUUCAGCUGAGAACAAUGAGUCCAUAAGAGCCGUAUCUCUAUACAGUGAUAUGAUUCAGAGUGGCUUCUUGCCCAACAACUACACUUUCUCCUUUCUUCUUAGAGCUUGCGCUGACCUCUCUUAUCUCUCUUUUGGUUUGGUGCUCCAUUGCCAUGCCAUUAGGCUUGGUUGGGAAUCUCACGAUUUUGUGCAGAACGGGUUGAUCCAUUUGUAUGUGACUUGUGAUUUCAUAAACCCAGCUCGUAAAUUGUUUGACAUGAGCGUAUAUAGAGAUGUUGUUACCUGGACUGCAUUGAUUAAUGGGUAUGUCAAGUCUGGCCAAGCUGUCAUUGCACGGGAGCUGUUUGAUCAAAUGCCUCAAAAGAAUGCGGUUUCUUGGAGCGCUAUGAUUAAUGGGUAUGUGCAAGUUGGGUUGUUUAGGGAGGCCUUGGAGCUUUUUGUCGAUAUGCAGGUGUCUGGGUUUUUGCCUAACCACUCCGGGAUUAUUGGUUCACUCACUGCUUGUGCUUUUCUUGGUGCACUGGAUCAGGGAAGAUGGAUACAUGCAUAUAUCAACAGGAAGGGGAUGCAAUUAGAUAGAGUGUUGGGCACUGCUCUCGUCGACAUGUACACAAAGUGUGGUUGUAUUGAAACUGCUCGUGCUGUAUUUAAUGAGAUGCCGAGUAAGGAUGUCUUUGCUUUUACUUCUUUGAUUUCGGGGCUUGCCAAUAACGGUGAUAGUGCAGGUGCCAUUUCUUUCUUUGCGAGAAUGCAGGAUGAAGGAAUUGCACCUAAUGAAGUUACAUUUAUAUGCGUGUUGAGUGCUUGCAGCCGAAUGGGCUUGGUGGAUGAGGGAUUGCGUAUCUUUGGAAGUAUGACUGGUACUUUCAGGAUACAGCCAGGCAUCCAGCACUACGGCUGUUUGGUAGAUUUACUAGGGAGAGCUGGGAUGCUAGAAGAGGCAAAGAAGGUUGUGAGAGAGAUGCCCAUGGAACCAGACUCUUAUGUCUUGGGUGCAUUGCUCAAUGCUUGUAGAGUUCAUGGAGAUGUUGAGUUGGGUAAAGAAAUGGUUGAGCGCUUGUCCGGGAAAAGUUUAGACCACAGUGGUGUGCAUGUUCUUCUUUCAAACAUCUAUGCCUCUGCCAACCAGUGGGAUGAUGUCACAGUGCUAAGGAAGGGAAUGGAGGGAAAAAAGGUGAGAAAGGUGCCGGGUUGUAGCUUAGUUGAAGUUAACGGCGAGGUUUUUGAGUUUUUUGCUGGAGAUAGGUCGCAUGUGCUCAUGGACGAAAUCAUGUUGGCGUCGCUUGUAAUUGACAAGCAUCUAAAAUCGCGUUGCUUUGACAGGGAUGAUGACAAAAUAACUGAGUAACUCAAGUUUUAGCAACUCAAAUGUCAUCGGCAAAGCAUCACAACGGUGAUGAACUGUUUGUAUCACUCUUCUGGGAUCGACUUCUUUCUAGAGGUCACAGCUCACAAAUGCCUCUUUAGAAAGAUUGAUGGUUCCACAUCCCGGUGAAGCGCAGUAGUCGACAAUUGUAACGUUAGCGUCUCUGCGAGUACAAGGAUAAUCUGCAUCAUUUGGAGUUCCCGUGCAUUUGGCGUUAUACGGUUGCCCGCAUUCUGAGCUUUCGUUCCAAAUUUCUUUGCUUGCUGCACCAAUCAUCACACCAUAGUCUUUGUAUCCGUAGCACGCAGAGACCACCAAAAGAGAUAAAUACAAAAUUCUUUUUAAGUUUGUGUAUGUUAUUUUGUUUUAUGCACGCUAAACACCAUGUUAGUUUCAUACACGUGUUAUAAUA